rnacentral:tRNA from 4 species
GCCGACGUAGCUCAAUUGGCGGAGCAACUGAUUUGUAAUCAGUAGGUUGUCGGUUCAACUCCGACCGUCGGCU